rnacentral:lncRNA from 1 species
CGGCAAUAAAGCAGAUGCAGAUGUUUAAUAUUGCAUUCCUUCUGCACGAGGGAGACAAAAAUGCUAUAAAUGUUUGUUUAAUUUUAGAAUUUAAUAUAAAAAUCGUUUUUUUAAUGUCGAAACAGAUGAAGUCGCAGUAAUUACAGAUUUUUAGGAACUAGAUGUGUAUCUGUAAAGUGUAGAAUGAGGUUGGAGACGACAUUGGAAACCCUUGCAGGCUCUUGAAACCGAGGGAAUCAUGGCAGGAUUCGGGCCGCUGCAGGAAGGAAACAGAGGUGCAGGUCAUCAGCAGCAGAAACACCAUCUCUUCUUAAUCAGACCAGCAACACCAGCAUUAAAUUUGCCUCCCUACCGAGUUGGAGAUAAGAGCACAAGUGCAGAGAGAUCCUCUGCAUGAGCUCACACGGUCACAGUGUCACGCUCACCCACCUUCAGCUCAGCCGUCUGCGAGAAUGUAGGUGGCGAUGGCGAAGGGAGGAAUCGGCUUUUUACUGAAGGGAUCCUCCUCCCUCCUCUUUUGGCAAUCAUCCAGCUACAGUGUUGUGCUACCCCUCCUCCUGCCACUAGUUCGCUUGCCACCACCCCCCAUGUAGCUUCUGCCCCCCCUACCCGACGCAGUUAAUGGCCACAG